GUGAGGAAUAUUGGUCAAUGGACGGAAGUCUGAACCAGCCAUGCCGCGUGCAGGAAUAAGGUCCUAUGGAUUGUAAACUGCUUUUAUUCGGGAAUAAACCUCUUUACGUGUAGGGAGCUGAAGGUACCGAAGGAAUAAGCACCGACUAACUCCGUGCCAGCAGCCGCGGUAAUACGGAGGGUGCAAGCGUUAUCCGGAAUCAUUGGGUUUAAAGGGUCCGCAGGCGGGCUAUCAAGUCAGAGGUGAAAUCCCACAGCUUAACUGUGGAACUGCCUUUGAAACUGAUGGUCUUGAAUUAAGUGGGCGUUGGCGGAAUAUGACAUGUAGCGGUGAAAUGCAUAGAUAUGUCAUGGAACACCGAAAGCGAAGGCAGCUAACGAUACUUAUAUUGACGCUCAUGGACGAAAGCGUGGGUAGCGAACAGGAUUAGAAACCCUUGUAGUCC
rnacentral:rRNA from 1 species